rnacentral:lncRNA from 1 species
AUGGUUAAAAGGGCAUGGGAGGUUCAUGCCCAAACUGCCUCUACAUUUGAGAUGCCUACUCUAAGGAGCUUCUCUCUGCCUCUAAAUAUCCUCUCUGUUAGCACCCCUACUUACAAAAUGCUUCAAAGACUUCAGAUAGGCAACUUCCAGAUGAUGGGUCAUAUGGCUACCUGUUGCUCACUAGAUUCACAUCUCUUGGCUCUGCUACCAAGAAGAAUUCAUGCUCUUGUUCCAGCUCCAAUUCAAGAUUAUCUGAGAGCAGAAUGCUAAUUGGGCCACUUGUGCAUUCCUUGACCAAACAAACAUGGUUAGAGAAAAGGUCCAGUAGGAACAUAAAGCCACACUGAACCUCAAAUGCUGCAAUACAGAGAAGAGAGAAGAAAAGAAGUGCUGCUGUUUCCAGAGUAAGGAAGUUUAAUUGGGAACAAAACAAUAAGUGUUCCUUUUAGAAACAAAUGCUUUCAUAGUAUAAGUUUAUCCCAUGCAAUAUUUGUUACAUACCUAUCUCAAAAGAUUAUUUGUUUUUUUAUCUGAUAUUUGAUUUCAACUUGGCACUUUGUUUUCUUUGUGUGUGUGUGGUGUGUGUGUGUAUGCGCGCAUGCACUAAAUUUGUGCACAUCUUUACAAAUUAACAAUAUUUUAUGGUCAUAUUUCAAUUAAAAAAUAGAAACAGGAAACAUAUGAGUUAUUUGACCUUAAUCUUAUGACAUCUGAAGGGUACACAAUCAAUUGGCAACUGGGAAAUUUGAUGCAGGCCAGAGAUUGCCUCGAAUCCCACUGUGAGCAGUGUGUUACUUUGUUUGCUUGACCAUGCAUCAAUGAUCCAGAACCAUACUGUCAGUUUAAGACCACAGAAUGUUUGAUGGAAAUUUAACAUGUUAUUUCAGAGCUAGUGUGUCCAGUCUUGCAAAUUUAACUUCUUGAUUGCUUUAUUGUUGAAGUUCAUAAAUUAAUCAUAUAAACUUAAAGUUGAGUCUUGUGGUUUAAUAAGACACAUCUGCCUAUUAAUGUAUCUCAAGUCUUAUGUCAAAGACAUCUAGUUACUUUUGUGAAACCAGGUAUUUUCCAUAAACACUUUGUGUAUGUCUAUAAUUAAUAUAAUAAAUGGGGCACUUGGGUGGCUCA